CACGUAGGGCGCAAGCGUUGUCCGGAAUUAUUGGGCGUAAAGAGCUCGUAGGCGGUCUGUUGCGUCCGCUGUGAAAACUCGGGGCUUAACCCCGAGCCUGCAGUGGAUACGGGCAGACUAGAGGUAGGUAGGGGAGAAUGGAAUUCCCGGUGUAGCGGUGAAAUGCGCAGAUAUCGGGAAGAACACCGGUGGCGAAGGCGGCUCUCUGGCCCGCAACUGACGCUGAGGCGCGAAAGCGUGGGGAGCGAACAGG
rnacentral:rRNA from 1 species